UACGUAGGGGGCGAGCGUUGUCCGGAAUUAUUGGGCGUAAAGAGCGCGCAGGCGGCUAUUUAAGUCUACCGUGAAAGCUUACGGCUUAACCGUAACAGGCCGGUGGAUACUGGAUGGCUUGAGGGCAGGAGAGGAAAGUGGAAUUCCCAGUGUAGCGGUGAAAUGCGUAGAGAUUGGGAGGAACACCAGUGGCGAAGGCGACUUUCUGGACUGCAACUGACGCUGAGGCGCGAAAGCUGGGGGAG
rnacentral:rRNA from 1 species